CUCUCCUUAGCUCAGUUGGAAGAGCGCAAGACUGUAAUUGAAUUCCCAAAGUCAUCUUGAGGUCUGCGGUUCGAUCCCGCAAGGGGAGA